GUAAACUAAGCAGUCUAUUUGCAGCUAACUAAAGGGUUUGUGCAUGCAGGACCAGCUUAAUUAAAGACAAAAUUUAAAAGGAAAAAUUAUUUGGGCUGUACAACACUGAAAAAAAAAUCUGAAUCUAUGCUGUUUUUAAAUGGAUCCCUGGUUGAAGUGUGGGUUACAGCUGUCCCAGAAAUCAGUGCCACAAUGAAUUAGGAUGAUGUUGGCUACUGUUUGGCUUGGUGUUUCUUCAACUGUGUGCCACGUCCCUCAGCAAAACACAGCACAGAAGUGGUUUCAAGAGGUGAUGUGGAACUCAUCUGUGACUAUAUUACCGAAGUCCAAUCCAUCCUCGGAAACCUUGACUUUCAGCACCCAGAGACGUGGAAUACGCCUCUCAUUACUGCAGCAGAGGAAAAUCUAACAGAGAAAGACAUGCUGAGUCAUUGCUUGACAUUUGUCAUGAUACAAACUCUUCUCCAACUGAUUUGAUGACAGUUACCAAAAAUCAAAACAUCAUCUUGCAAAGCAUCAGCAGAAGUGAGGAGUUCGACCA
rnacentral:lncRNA from 1 species